UACGGAGGGUGCAAGCGUUACUCGGAAUCACUGGGCGUAAAGGAUGCGUAGGCUGGAGAUCAAGUCAGGAGUGAAAUCCAACGGCUCAACCGUUGAACUGCUCCUGAAACUGGUCACCUAGAAUAUGGGAGAGGUAGAUGGAAUUGGUGGUGUAGGGGUAAAAUCCGUAGAUAUCACCAGGAAUACCGAUUGCGAAGGCGAUCUACUGGAACAUUAUUGACGCUGAGACGCGAAAGCGUGGGGAG
rnacentral:rRNA from 1 species